CCUUCAAAAACAAGCUAGGCUUAAGUCUCAAGCUAAGUUUAUUCAUCUUGAUAGAAUCUACAACAAUUGUCUAUAUAAACUCCCUUAUAAUGUGUCACUUAUAUUAGCACCAGGAAUUGCCAACGCAAACUUAGGUAGUUCCCAUUGUUACACUCCAUACUACACGAAGAGAAAGAUGUUAUCCAGCCUAGGAUACAGGCCCCGUCAAGGAAAGGGAUCAUUUACGAGAAGGUAGUCUUAUUACUAUGGACUACAGGACUGAUCGUGUUAGGAUUAUUGUUGAUUCCUGUGGAAUAGUGGUCUCGACUCCUGUCGUUGGAUAAACUUAAAACAUGCAUUGUGCACUCACUAUUUAUAUCAUUAAAAGUAAUAUAGUACUUAAAAUAUAGGUAUUGAUCGUGAUAAUAUCAAUAAUAAUGUUCGUUGUGAUCGUGUUGUUGUUUAUAUUGAUUCUAACAAGAUUGUUGUUUCUCCAUCAAAACGGAUUGCAUGAAUUUGCUCCUUGCCUUUGUCAAUAUGUUAUGAUAUUCUUUAUUAUCGUAAAUACCAUGUCUAAUGUUUUGUAUUUAUAAGUGUUCUAGGGUGGAGGUUGCAAGAGCCCAUACUCUUGCUAAUAGGGCUAGAGAUGGUGGAAUUUUGAUCUUGUAUUAUUUUGUUUGACUCCUUUGCCAAAAAACAAAGAAAAAAAAACAUUUGUUGUUUUGACUUCCUCUGUUGGCGAAGCUUCGUCCGUCUUAUUUCCUAGAAAGUAAAUAGCAAAGUAGUUGUUUGGUUGACAUGAGCAUAGGAAGUGGAACUUCCUAGGAAGUUACUUAUCUAGUCUUCCCUAGGUAAGUAGAACUUCCCAUGGGAAUUCUAACUUCCUAUGCUCAACUAAACAAGAACACUCAAUUCCUAGGAAGUUACAACACAUGGGAAUUGCAAAUACAAGGGAAAUAUAACUUCUCAAGUGCAACCAAACAUCACCUUAAGAUUUGAAAUUUUUGCUGACAUGACAUAUGCCCCAUCCCCAUCUAGUCUUAAGAUUGGGCAUUCAGUUUGUAACAUUGAAGUGGUUAGUCUUAACAAAAUCUUAGAUCGAGUCUUGAAAAACUAAAGACUCAACUUAAAACUCAGAUGCUGGCAGAGUUGAUGCACCAAAUGUUGGCAGUGUUGGUGCACCAAAUGCUGAUGUUGAUGGAGGAAAAACAGAUGGAGCAAAACCAGAUACUGGUGUUGUUGAUGCACCAAAUGCUGGUGUUGUUGAUGAACCAAAUGCUGGUGUUGUUGAUGCAGGAAAUGAUGGUGCUGUUGAUACACCAAAUGCUGGUGCUGUUGAUAAACCAAAUGGCGUUGUUGAUG